rnacentral:rRNA from 1 species
CCUACGGGUGGCAGCAGUGAGGAAUAUUGGUCAAUGAGCGCGAGCCUGAACCAGCCAAGUAGCGUGAAGGAUGACUGCCCUACGGGUUGUAAACUUCUUUUAUACAGGAAUCAAGUGAGGCACGUGUGCCUUUUUGUAUGUACUUUAUGCAUAAGGAUCGGCUAACUCCGUGCCAGCAGCCGCGGUAAUACGGAGGAUCCGAGCGUUAUCCGGAUUUAUUGGGUUUAAAGGGAGCGUAGAUGGGUUGUUAAGUCAGUUGUGAAAGUUUGCGGCUCAACCGUAAAAUUGCAAUUGAUACUGGCAGCCUUGAGUACAGUUGAGGUAGGCGGAAUGCGUGGUGUAGCGGUGAAAUGCUUAGAUAGCACGAAGAACUCCGAUUGCGAAGGCAGCUUACUAAACUGCCACUGACAUUGAUGCUCGAAAGUGUGGGUAUCAAACAGGAUUAGAUACCCCUGUAGUC